rnacentral:rRNA from 1 species
AGACAGGUGGUGCAUGGUUGUCGUCAGCUCGUGUCGUGAGAUGUUGGGUUAAGUCCCGCAACGAGCGCAACCCCUACGUUAGUUGCUAACAGGUGAAGCUGAGCACUCUAGACGAACUGCCGUUGACAAACGGAGGAAGUGGGAUGACGUCAAAUCAUCAUGCCCCUUAUGACCUGGGCUACACACGUGCUACAAUGGUUGGUACAACGAGUUGCGAGUCGGUGACGGCGAGCUAAUCUCUUAAAGCCAAUCUCAGUUCGGAUUGUAGGCUGCAACUCGCCUACAUGAAGUCGGAAUCGCUAGUAAUCGCGGAUCAGCACGCCGCGGUCGAAUACGUUCCCGGGCCUU